UGGUAAUGCAUGUGCUCAAUGGUGAACAUUUAUAAGCAAUAAAAUGUUAAUGGGUAAUAAUUAAUGGGUAAAUGGGUAUCGUUCUUCAAAAGGUGGGUUUUGUUGUAGGGCAGGUAGUGUUAAAAUGGGGAAUAUUCAAAAUGUACUGGUUUUAUAAAUGCUUGUUUUAUGACAUAAGUCAGAGGGUGGUUUGUAAUGGUAUUUACUAAUUAAUGACUUUACAUCAUAAAGAAAGCAUAUUUAGUGUAAUGCUUUGGGGGCACCACUAGAGGGAGUGUGUAGGAAGACAUGUGCUUUUGGCAGUGACAUAUCGGGCCAGCCUACUUACACUGAAUAAAACCAGAUGGAGGAGAAAACUCUGUCCCUUUGCCUGUAACUGACUGAACCUAAGAUGUAGUACCAGCUCUGACUUAACCCCAGCCAAAGGGCUGGGGCCUUGUAAGUAAAAUGAACAUUUAGCCUUUUGUGUAACAUGUAGCAACCUUUUGUAAGUAAUAUGUUGUAGUUUUGUAUUGUAUCAUAAUUUUAGUAAAUUGACAUUCUGCU